GAUGUGAAAGCCCCCGGCUCAACCGGGGAGGGUCAUUGGAAACUGGGAGACUUGAGUGCAGAAGAGGAGAGUGGAAUUCCAUGUGUAGCGGUGAAAUGCGUAGAUAUAUGGAGGAACACCAGUGGCGAAGGCGGCUCUCUGGUCUGUAACUGACGCUGAGGCUCGAAAGCGUGGGGAGCGAACAGGAUUAGAUACC
rnacentral:rRNA from 1 species